GAUGAACGCUGGCGGUGUGCCUAAUACAUGCAAGUCGAGCGAACAGACGAGGAGCUUACUCCUCUGACGUUAGCGGCGGACGGGUGAGUAACACGUGGAUAACCUACCUAUAAGACUGGGAUAACUUCGGGAAACCGGAGCUAAUACCGGAUAACAUGUUGAACCGCAUGGUUCAACAGUGAAAGACGGUCUUGCUGUCACUUAUAGAUGGAUCCGCGUCGCAUUAGCUAGUUGGUAAGGUAACGGCUUACCAGGGCAACGAUGCGUAGCCGACCUGAGAGGGUGAUCGGCCACACUGGAACUGAGACACGGUCCAGACUCCUACGGGAGGCAGCAGUAGGGAAUCUUCCGCAAUGGGCGAAAGCCUGACGGAGCAACGCCGCGUGAGUGAAGAAGGUCUUCGGAUCGUAAAACUCUGUUAUUAGGGAAGAACAAAUGUGUAAGUAACUAUGCACGUCUUGACGGUACCUAAUCAGAAAGCCACGGCUAACUACGU
rnacentral:rRNA from 1 species